CGCCCGUUCGGAGGACAACUACACGUGCACGGUACGCAACCCGUGGGGCGAGGAGCGCGCGGCAUGGCAACUGCGAGUACUUGCGCCGCCUGCGCGCCCGCGCCUGCGCCUCGCUGCUGCGGCGCCCGCUAGACUCACGCUCGCAUGGGACAAGCCGCAUACUGGAGGGUCUAGCUUACACGGCUACCUAAUAGAGUUCUCCCGGUCGGACGAAACAAAGUGGCACUCGACACGGCUACCAGCAGAUUCCCGAACGCACACCUUAGAACGGUUAGCGUGUGGAACCUUGUACAAGAUAAGACUGACUGCAUAUAACGCUGUGGGCUCCUCUCCAGCAAGCGAAGAGCUGAUAGUUUCCACCAAAGGAGGACCAUCAAAGGCUUCAACAGAAAAGGAUCUAAUCACAACCAACAGCUCCUGCGUCCGUCUCAAUCUACUAACCUGGGA